rnacentral:rRNA from 1 species
AGUGAACGCUGGCGGUAGGCCUAACACAUGCAAGUCGAACGGCAGCACAGUAAGAGCUUGCUCUUACGGGUGGCGAGUGGCGGACGGGUGAGGAAUACAUCGGAAUCUACUUUUUCGUGGGGGAUAACGUAGGGAAACUUACGCUAAUACCGCAUACGACCUACGGGUGAAAGCAGGGGAUCUUCGGACCUUGCGUGAUUGAAUGAGCCGAUGCCGGAUUAGCUAGUUGGCGGGGUAAAGGCCCACCAAGGCGACGAUCCGUAGCUGGUCUGAGAGGAUGAUCAGCCACACUGGAACUGAGACACGGUCCAGACUCCUACGGGAGGCAGCAGUGGGGAAUAUUGGACAAUGGGCGCAAGCCUGAUCCAGCCAUACCGCGUGGGUGAAGAAGGCCUUCGGGUUGUAAAGCCCUUUUGUUGGGAAAGAAAAGCAGCAGGUUAAUACCCCGCUGUUCUGACGGUACCCAAAGAAUAAGCACCGGCUAACUUCGUG